GACGAACGCUGGCGGCGUGCUUAACACAUGCAAGUCGAACGAAGAGCGAUGGAAGCUUGCUUCUCUCAAUCUUAGUGGCGAACGGGUGAGUAACGCGUAAUCAACCUGCCCUUCAGAGGGGGACAACAGUUGGAAACGACUGCUAAUACCGCAUACGAUCUAAUCUCGGCAUCGAGGAUAGAUGAAAGGUGGCCUCUACAUGUAAGCUAUCACUGAAGGAGGGGGUUGCGUCUGAUUAGCUAGUUGGGGGGGUAACGGCCCACCAAGGCGAUGAUCAGUAGCCGGUCGGAGAGGAUGAACGGCCACAUUGGGACUGAGACACGGCCCAGACGCCUACGGGAGGCAGCAGUGGGGAAUCUUCCGCAAUGGACGAAAGUCUGACGGAGCAACGCCGCGUGAGUGAUGACGGCCUUCGGGUUGGAAAGCUCUGUUAAUCGGGACGAAAGGCCUUCUUGCGAAUAGUGAGAAGGAUUGACGGUACCGGAAGAGAAAGCCACGGCUAACUACGUG
rnacentral:rRNA from 1 species